GACGAACGCUGGCGGCGUGCUUAACACAUGCAAGUCGAACGGAAAGGCCCUGCUUUUGUGGGGUGCUCGAGUGGCGAACGGGUGAGUAACACGUGAGUAACCUGCCCUUGACUUUGGGAUAACUUCAGGAAACUGGGGCUAAUACCGGAUAGGAGCUCCUGUUGCAUGGUGGGGGUUGGAAAGUUUCGGCGGUUGGGGAUGGACUCGCGGCUUAUCAGCUUGUUGGUGGGGUAGUGGCUUACCAAGGCUUUGACGGGUAGCCGGCCUGGGAGGGUGACCGGCCACAUUGGGACUGAGGUACGGCCCAGUCUCCUACGGGAGGCAACGGUGGGGAGUAUUGUACAAUGAGCGGGAGCCUGAUGCAGCAGCGCCGCGUGCGGAAUGACGGCCUUCGGGUUGUAAAACGCAUUCGCCUGUGACGAAGCGUGAGUGACGGUAAUGAAUAAAGAAGCACCGGCUAACUACGUG
rnacentral:rRNA from 1 species